CUCGGUGAAUUUGGGAAUGCAUAACAGUUUUUCAAGAGAAGGAACUUAAUGAGCUCUUCUUUAUUUUGUUGGGUACUUAUUUAAUAGGUACUCACAAGUUCAGUAGUUUUACUGAGCUCAUCAAGUUCAGUAGUUGGGUUUUACUAACAAGCAACAACUCUUGAAUUGUCUGCGCUAUACCUCACAAACUCCUCUAGAGUUUGCAACCACUCACUUGUAAUCUUUUGAUCAUAAAAGUAUUCAGAUGCGCAAAAG
rnacentral:misc_RNA from 1 species